GACGAACGCUGGCGGCGUGCUUAACACAUGCAAGUCGAACGAUGAUGCCAGCUUGCUGGUGGAUUAGUGGCGAACGGGUGAGUAACACGUGAGCAACCUGCCCCUGACUUCGGGAUAACCGCGGGAAACCGUGGCUAAUACCGGAUAUGACGCGCUAUCGCAUGGUGGUGUGUGGAAAGAUUUAUCGGUUGGGGAUGGGCUCGCGGCCUAUCAGCUUGUUGGUGGGGUGAUGGCCUACCAAGGCGACGACGGGUAGCCGGCCUGAGAGGGUGACCGGCCACACUGGGACUGAGACACGGCCCAGACGCCUACGGGAGGCAGCAGUGGGGAAUAUUGCACAAUGGGCGCAAGCCUGAUGCAGCGACGCCGCGUGAGGGAUGACGGCCUUCGGGUUGUAAACCUCUUUCAGUAGGGAAGAAGGCCUUCGGGUUGACGGUACCUGCAGAAGAAGCGCCGGCUAACUACGU
rnacentral:rRNA from 1 species